AUGUCCAGCAUCCACCUCCGCCACUGCUCCACUAUGCCCAUGUCCCACGUCUGCCUCCGCCGCCGCCUUUCCUCAUCCUCCUCCUCCUUCUCCAACUGCACCUCGCCGCCCUCACCACCCUGGUCUCCCCACGCCGCAUUUGCCGCGGCCACAGAGCGUGUACGAGCCAGGACGCUCAGCCCGGAAGACGCACACCACCUGUUCGACGUAUUGUUUCAGCAGGCCACUCCGGUCCCCGAGCGCUCCCUUGAUGGAUUCCUUGCAGCACUCAGCCGCGCUACGCCCUCUGAAGCCUGCGGAGACGGCCCCGCCCUCGCCCUCACCCUCUUCAACCGUGUCUGCCGAGAAGAAGCCGGGAUGCAGGUGGUGCCGCCCACCAUCUUCACCUACGGCAUCCUCAUGAACUGCUGCUGCCGCGAACGUCGUCCGGACCUAGGGCUUGCCUUCUUUGGGCGCAUCCUCAAGGCUGGCCUGAAGACAAACCUGAUCACCGCCAACACCGUCCUCAAGUGCCUCUACUGCGCAAAACAUACCGACGAGGCUGUCGAUAUGCUGCUUCAUAGGAUGUCCGACCUUGGCUGUGUGCCUGAUGACUUCUCAUACAACACAGUUCUCCACGGCUUCUUUAAGGAAGGAAAAAUAGGCAAGGCCUGCAAUCUAUUCCAUGAAAUGAUGCUGCAAGGGUUUGUCCCUGAUGUGGUGACAUAUAACUUGAUUAUUGAAGCAUUGUGCAAGGCCCGAGCAAUGGACAAUGCAGAGUUGUUCCUACGGCAGAUGGUUGAUAACGUUGUUCCACCGGAUAAAGUGACAUAUACUAGCAUGAUCCAUGGAUAUUCCACUUUGGGCCGGUGGAAAGAGGCGACUAAAAUGUUCAGAGAGAUGACAAGCAGGGGUCUUAUACCUAAUAUUGUCACAUGGAGCUCGUUCAUGGACUCCCUUUGCAAGCAUGGGAAAAGCAAAGAAGCUGCAGAAAUUUUCUUUUCCAUGGCUGGAAAGGGCCAUAAGCCUAAUAUCGUCUCCUAG
rnacentral:rRNA from 1 species